UACGUAGGGGGCAAGCGUUGUCCGGAUUUAUUGGGCGUAAAGCGCUCGCAGGUGGUUCGUCGCGUUCGUGCGUGAAAGACCCCGGCUCAACUGGGGAGGGUCGUGCGAUACGGGCGGACUGGAGGCCAGUAGGGGGAUGCGGAAUUCCGGGUGUAGUGGUGGAAUGCGUAGAGAUCCGGAGGAACGACCAGCGGCGAAGGCGGAGCAUCCUCGGAACUGGGUACCGUGGACACCUCAGGACGCGAAACGC
rnacentral:rRNA from 1 species